AAGAACACCUUUCGUUUCUGUUUAAGUAAUAGUCUUGAAUCUUGCUAUUAAGGGUUAUGCUGAUUUAGCAAAAUUCACCGUUGGCAUGAGAUCAACUUCUCGGAUAUUUACGUAGGUUGAAUCCAAAAUUCUACCAGUGCUUUCUGUGAGUGAAGAUAGUUACUGGGAUUUCUAUUAUUUACUAGAUUUUCUAGAUGAAGGAUGGAGAUCGACGUCUUUGUUUUCUAUUGGAUUGUAAGCUUUACUUCAAGAGAGGCUGAAAUUUUUAACGACUGAUGAUCAUGAUAGAAGCCCCUCAUCCUUGAAACAAACUCAGCUCUGGAAUGUAGGAGCAGGGCCUCUGUAGGCUCUAUAGAGCCCUUGCAGUCUGAGUAGAAGCAUAUUGCUUUGGGCAUUACAUGAAAGCUAUUACUACCAUUUAGAAGUGUGUUAGACACAAUCCUGCUCUCUUCCUGUGUUUUAGUUGCAACUGAUUGACGACAACUCUUCUACUUAAUGUGAACUUACAGCUUUAAAACACCUUUGCAGUGGCAUUGUGUCUAUCAUUGUAUCAUUUUUCUCUUCCAUGUAUGUCAUGAACUUCCCACAAGUUCAUUUGGUACUUCUAAGCGGAACUCAUGGAACUCUCUGUCAAACAUCUUCAAGAAUGUGGUUUCUGCAAGUCCGUCAAAGCAAUAGAGGACCAUAUUGCUAGGCAUGUACAUAUUUACCCGUGAAAUUGACGACCACCAAUUCUGACCACAAUCCAAGUAGAAGCCAUCAACUUGCGCUCAAAUUCAAAGGACUUUACCUACUCAGGUUUGACUUUGUUGAUGUCCUCCCCCAAGUUUUGAUGGACGGGGCUGUAUGUUAUCCAUCGACGGAGAUUCUUAGCGAUUAGCAUGGAGACAAGUUGAUUGUCACAUUAACAAUCAGUACAAUACUUAUUUUUGGAUGCUUGUCAAGUGCGUCAAGAGUAAAAUUGAAGCUUAGGACUACCUAAAGGAUGAAUUGGAGUCUAUCUCAACAUUGUUGGAAACUCUUAGGCUUACCUUUUCUGAGACUCUAGGGAAGUGGCCAAUGGGGAUUUGGCAUUUGGGAUCAACUUUCUUUUAAAGAGGCAGGGAAACUUGCACGUCGCAAAUGUAUUUGCUUGGGAAGAAAGUUGAUAGCUUAAAGGGCCUGAAAUAACUGCUGAGCUUAGACAUGUCUUAAAUUUGUUGACUCUUUGCUAGCACUUCUCGAAGAAACCAUUCCCGUUAGUUUUUAGAGGAGACUGGUUAUGUGAAGGAAAAUGUUUAU